UACGAAGGGGGCAAGCGUUGUUCGGAAUCACUGGGCUUAAAGGGCGCGUAGGCGGGUCUCCAAGUCGGUGGUGAAAUCUUUCGGCUCAACCGGAAAACAGCCGCCGAUACUGGGGGUCUCGAGGGAGGUAGGGGUCGAUGGAACUUCCGGUGGAGCGGUGAAAUGCGUAGAUAUCGGAAGGAACGCCGGUGGCGAAAGCGAUCGACUGGACCUUUUCUGACGCUGAGGCGCGAAAGCCAGGGGAGCAAACGGG
rnacentral:rRNA from 1 species